rnacentral:tRNA from 2 species
GCCCGCUUAGCUCAAUGGAUAGAGCACAUGACUUCGGAUCAUGAGGUUAGGGGUUCGAGUCCCUUAGCGGGCA